AUUGAACGCUGGCGGCAGGCUUAACACAUGCAAGUCGAGCGAGCGGCGGACGGGUGAGUAAUGUCUGGGAAACUGCCUGAUGGAGGGGGAUAACUACUGGAAACGGUAGCUAAUACCGCAUAACAUCAGAUGUGCCCAGAUUGGAUUAGCUAGUAGGUGGGGUAAUGGCUCACCUAGGCGCCUAUCCUUAGCUGGUCUGAGAGGAUGACCAGCCCAACUGGAACUGAGAGACGGUCCAGACUCCUACGGGAGGCAGCAGGGGGGAAUAUUGCACAAUGGGCGCAAGCCUGAUGCAGCCAUGCCGCUGGUGUGAAGAAGGCCUUCGGGUUGUAAAGCACUUUCAGCGAGGAGGCGUUACUCGCAGAAGAAGCACCGGCUAACUCCGUGCCAGCAGCCGCGGUAAUAC
rnacentral:rRNA from 1 species